rnacentral:lncRNA from 1 species
ACUCAUCCUGUUUUCAUUCUUGGAAGGUCCUCUUUUUCUCCAGAUAAUGUUGCUAUUAAAAACUCAGUGUCCUUUUGUGUAGUUUUACAACUUAGGUAAUUGAGAAAUAUUUUCCUUCUGAAUUUUGUACAAGAAAAAGACAAUUAGAUUUGCAUUGCUUGCAAAAACUUAGGAAAUUUUGAGGCAAAAGUAGUAGUUAUUAAUGAAUAAACAAGAGAGCUUUUGACAUCAUUAAAGACCACUAGAUUCCUCCUUCCUAUUUUAAAGCCUUCCACACUUCUCAGUUCCAUUUACUUUUAAUUAUAUGAUUAUGAAUGAAUCACAUAAAAAAUAAUAGAUCUGGGUACAUUAAUUAUGUAUCGAAAGACAAGUAGAUCCAACAGAUUAAACAGAAUAGAAUAAGUGUGUGUAUUUACUGAUUUCUGUUUGGCUGUCUGCUCUAAAUGUGUAUUUUGUUGAGAAUUUGAUUAUUUUCUAAUGCCAAGUUCUCUUGAAAUUUAAGGCUGUGGAGACACAAUUCACCUCUUGGGGCUGAGACGAUGGGGUUUUCUAAAUAUACAAUUCAUGUCAUCUCCAAACAGUGACAAUUUGACUUCCUCUCUUCCUGUUUGAAUACCCUUCAUUUCUUACUCUUGCCUUGUUGAAAGAAUGAUUUUAUAGCUGCUAUUUUGAAAAUACUAAUUGCACACAAGCUUUUUCUGUCAGGAGCACAUGAAUCCAAGUCCAGCAAUUGAAAAGCUGAUUUCAUUUCAAGUUAAAAUUAUUUCUUGGAGAUUCAAAACAAUAGUUUUCAUGUCCUUUGAAAUAACUCUUCAGCUCUUUAUGAUAAAUAAAUGUUUUCUUUAAAUAAUGCAUAUUUCUUUUUUAGAAAAGUCACAAUUUCUGCUAAUUCAUGGUGUUUUUUGGAUAUAGAGAAGAAAACAAAUGUAUCUACGAAAUCAUUUGUUAUGCACUAUGGUUUUAACUUGAUAUUACAGCUGUUUAUCUCUCGUUUAUUUUCAAGUGUAGUACCAACUGUGCCUAAUUUGUCUCAAGUGAGGUUUUAAGAUGGAAAUAGAUGUCAUAAAAAACAUUGGUGACGUGAAGGAAGCUCAUAUUUUCAAACUAUACUUGUUCAGUUUAACAGAAUUUUAGCAAAACAAAAUUUUUUCUUUAUUUAUGGAACUGAUGAUUCUCUGGAAUUUAAUCACAGGCACCUAUUGCUAAUUCUUUGUGUUUCUCUCAAUAUUAUAAUCACAAAAUACUCAUAGAAAAAUUGUCACAGAAAAGCAGUUAGUCAUUGCAAGGCAAUCGCAGUUAAUUGGCCACACUGAAGUUAUUAUUAAACACACACACAAAAAGCAGUAUUUUGAGUUUCUUACAAGGACAAUUCAUAAAUUAAAGCAAUUGAUCAAGAUAGGUAAUAUACUUUACAUGCUUAUCUAUUUGUCAUAAAGAAUCUCAUCUCUCCUAAAAGAUGAAAGAAGAAUGCAUAUAGAGCUUAACACAAAUCAUUUACACAUUGGCCUUUUGGUACUGAAUAGCAUUAGAAAUAAUCCAUUGUACACUUUGCUGAAUUGAAAAGAAAUUAAAAAUAUGAUUUUAUAGAUAAGUCUUUUAAAAUUCCACUUACCUUUGCAUUGGGGGAAUAGCCCCAAUUGCAGUGGAAAAAGAGUUUUUAAUAUGUAGAAGAAAAGUCAGGUAAAUAUUAUUUGCAUCCAUUAUUGAAAAAAAACUGCAAACUUACAGGAUCAUCUAGAGAAGCUGUUAAAUUUUCUUUGAAUAGUUUAAAAAAGAAUGGAGACAUUCGUUUCCAAUCUCUGAGCUCAAUGGAUGACUUCUGUAACACCUCCUCAUUCAGAAAGCCUGUCUAUCCCUCUCAGGACUCUUCUCACUCCAUACCUCUUAGAGUGGGGUAGAUGGAGCAGAUUUUUCUCCCAAAAAAUAAUACAGUGAGAGAGCAAAGGGUUUCUACUAGAUGUUUUUUCUUUGUUCCGUAUGUGACCACAGGGAGUUGUUAUUAUUAAGGGUUUCUUGAGAGAGCUUUCUCAUGUAUAAAAUCAUAUCUUCGCAAGAAAAAAAUUGACAUCCUGAUCCAGCUCCCAUAUGGAGGAAAUAAGUAAUUGGGUUUCAAUAAAUCCAGGUAAUUUAAAAUUCAAUAUAAAGAUGGAUAGUUUUCAAAAACCAUAUUGAUCCUUGCUUCUGUUUCUUACUGUAUAUAUUAAAGUUAAAUUUCUAAACAAACAUCACUCAGAGGCAUCCAAAUGCACACUGUUUUUUCCCCCACAGCAGGGUCAAAACAGCAGCAAGUAAGCAGGCCUGCCUGAGCAGUUAACUGUUAAGACUCCUGCUGUUGCUAUGCUAUAGCAAUUCCUAUAAGUUAGAUUUAUAAAAAGAAAUUGCUUAUGGAAAGGCUUAGAUUUCU